UUGCAGUUAAAAAGCUCGUAGUUGGAUUUCUGUGGGGACGGAGCGGCCGGCCGCACAUCGCGGUUCGAGCUAGCGCUUUCCCUACAUCCUGCCGCGAACCGUGCUACCAUUAGUUUGGUGGCGCUGGGGAUCGGCUCGAUUACUUUGAGAAAAAUAGAGUGUUCAAAGCAGGCCACACGCCUUGAAUAAGUUAGCAUGGAAUAAUAACUAAGGACUUCGGUUCUAUUUUGUUGGUGUUCGGGACUGAAGUAAUGAUUGAUAGGGACAGUUGGGGCGGUCAGUAUUCCAAAGCGAGAGGUGAAAUUCUUAGACCUUCGGAAGACUAACAGCUGCGAAAGCGUUCCGCAAGGAUGUUCCCUUUGAUCAAGAACGAAAGUUGGGGGAUCGAAGACGAUCAGAUACCGUCGUAGUCUCAACUAUAAACUAUACCAGCUAGGGAUCGGCCAACGUUAUUUUAUACCGACUUGGUCGGCACCUUAUGAGAAAUCAAAGCAUCUGGGUUCCGGGGGGAGUAUGGUCGCAAGGCUGAAACUUAAAGGAAUUGACGGAAGGGCACCACCAGCCGUGGAGCCUGUGGCUUAAUUUGACUCAACACGGGAAAACUUACCAGGUCCAGACAUAGUAAGGAUUGACAGAUUGAUAGCUCUUUCUUGAUUCUGUGGGUGGGUGGUGCAUGGCCGU
rnacentral:rRNA from 1 species